AUUGAACGCUGGCGGCAGGCCUAACACAUGCAAGUCGAACGAGUGGCGGACGGGUGAGUAAUGUCUGGGAAACUGCCCGAUGGAGGGGGAUAACUACUGGAAACGGUAGCUAAUACCGCAUACCAUCGGAUGUGCCCAGAUGGGAUUAGCUAGUAGGUGGGGUAACGGUUCACCUAGGCGACGAUCCCUGGCUGGUCUGAGAGGAUGACCAGCAACAUGGGAACUGAGACACGGUCCAGACUCCUACGGGAGGAAGCAGGGGGGAAGAGUGCACAAUGGGCGCAAUCCUGAUGCAGCCCUGCCGCGUGUAUGAAGAAGGCUUUCGGUUUGUAAAGUACUUUCAGCGAGGAGGCGUUACUCGCAGAAGAAGCACCGGCUAACUCCGUGCCAGCAGCCGCGGUAAUUC
rnacentral:rRNA from 1 species